rnacentral:rRNA from 1 species
CCUACGGGAGGCAGCAGUGAGGAAUAUUGGUCAAUGGACGCGAGUCUGAACCAGCCAAGCCGCGUGAAGGAUGACUGCUCUAUGAGUUGUAAACUGCUUUUGUAAGAGGGUAAUAUCAGAUACGUGUAUCUGCUUGUAAGUAUCGUACGAAUAAGGAUCGGCUAACUCCGUGCCAGCAGCCGCGGUAAUACGGAGGAUCCAAGCGUUAUCCGGAUUUAUUGGGUUUAAAGGGUGCGUAGGCGGGUUUAUAAGUUAGUGGUGAAAAUUCGCGGCUCAACGCCGGACGUGCCAUUAAUACUGUAAGACUAGAGAACAGAUGCGGUAGGCGGAAUGUAUGGUGUAGCGGUGAAAUGCGUAGAGAUCAUACAGAACACCGAUUGCGAAGGCAGCUUACCAAACUAUAUCUGACGUUGAGGCACGAAAGCGUGGGGAGCAAACAGGAUUAGAUACCCCAGUAGUC